GUUUGUCGCGUCGUCUGUGAAAUUCCGGGGCUUAACUUCGGGCGUGCAGGCGAUACGGGCAUAACUAGAGUGCUGUAGGGGAGACUGGAAUUCCUGGUGUAGCGGUGAAAUGCGCAGAUAUCAGGAGGAACACCGAUGGCGAAGGCAGGUCUCUGGGCAGUUACUGACGCUGAGGAGCGAAAGCAUGGGUAGCGAACAGGAUUAGAUACCCUGGUAGUCCAUGCCGUAAACGGUGGGCGCUAGGUGUGGGGGUUUUAUUUACGAUUCCCGUGCCGUAGCUAACGCAUUAAGCGCCCCGCCUGGGGAGUACGGCCGCAAGGCUAAAACUCAAAGGAAUUGACGGGGGCCCGCACAAGCGGCGGAGCAUGUGGAUUAAUUCGAUGCAACGCGAAGAACCUUACCUGGGCUUGACAUACACCGGAUCGCUGUAGAGAUGUAGUUUCCCUUGUGGCUGGUGUACAGGUGGUGCAUGGUUGUCGUCAGCUCGUGUCGUGAGAUGUUGGGUUAAGUCCCGCAACGAGCGCAACCCUUGUCUUGUGUUGCCAGCACGUUAUGGUGGGGACUCGCGAGAGACUGCCGGGGUUAACUCGGAGGAAGGUGGGGAUGACGUCAAAUCAUCAUGCCCCUUAUGUCCAGGGCUUCACACAUGCUACAAUGGUCGGUACAGUGGGUUGCGAUGCCGUGAGGUGGAGCUAAUCCCUUAAAGCCGGUCUCAGUUCGGAUUGGAGUCUGCAACUCGACUCCAUGAAGUCGGAGUCGCUAGUAAUCGCAGAUCAGCAAUG
rnacentral:rRNA from 1 species